AGCGAGAGAAUGUGUAAUUUUUAGACACCUGUACGGCGGAAAAUUACAAGAAAAGCAGCAGUUAAAAAUUCGGAUUCUGUACUUUCGGUUUUCGUUAUUUUUUUCAAGUUUGUUUAUUUAUUUAGUAAUAUUUGUAAAACUAUUAGUACAACUCGAGAAAUUCCUCAUAAGGGAUACAGUGCAGUCCUACCAUAUCUGCGAGAAGCGAUUUCAGAAAAAUGGCGUGAGCACCAGAUUGACAUCGUGAACAGGUUCCUGUUAAUGGAUCAGGAUAUGGACAUUCGGACUUGGAAUAUUAUUUGUGGGCUAGGAUACUCAUCGUUAGAGCCCAGCAGGUUAUAGGAAGUGAAGGAUUCUCAGCAGAACCAUUGAGUGUUUAAAUAUUGAACUUUGUAAAAAUGAUUCAAUUUAUUUAUAAAAUAAAUUUAUCAGCUUGAAA